ACUGCUCAGCUUCUUCUUCCUGCAGCUGGUUGAGUUCUUUCCAGACAAAGACAAGUGACAAGAAUCAGAGUUUUAAAAGCAGCCAGAUUCAUCUCUGCAGCUUUUGUAGUUUUAAAUAAGCAAGGAGUUUCUCCAGCGAAACUUCCUCACACCUCUUGGUCUUGGUCUCUUCAGACACUUUCCUUCCUGUUCUCUGGAGAUCUUGCAGAAAAGAGCCUGCAGUGUUUCCGUUGCUCAGCCAUGCUCCUGGUGCUCAUCCCACUGCUGGGGAUACAUUUUGUCCUGAGAACUGCCAGAGCCCAGUCAGUGACCCAGCCUGACACCCACAUCACUGUCUCUGAAGGAGCCUCACUGGAGUUGAGAUGUAACUAUUCCUAUGGGGCGAUGUUCCCCGAUACGGCAACACCUUCUCUCUUCUGGCAUGUCCAGUCCCCCGGCCAAGGCCUCCAGCUGCUCCUGAAGUACUUUUCAGGAGACACUCUGGUUCAAGGCAUUGAAGGCUUUGAGGCUGAAUUUAAGAGGAGUCAAUCUUCCUUCAACCUGAGGAGACCCUCUGUGCAUUGGAGUGAUGCUGCUGAGUACUUCUCUGCUGUGGGUGCCACAGUGCCUGGGUCUGCAGGGGAGCUGAACACAAACUGCCUAUGCUAGAGAAGUUUUCAGAGACUCAAUGUAUCUUCCUGCGGCAUUUUCAAAGAUCUCUUAUUUUUAUCAUGGUGAGUGAGGCAAAGAGAACUGAGCACAUCCAGCCAUUUCUAUAUAAUUCUGCAAUUCCUGCUAUGUCCCAUGUCAGAUAAACUUUGUUUUAGAAGCUUUUUGUUAAUUGAAGAAACUGCAUAAUAGGAAAUAGUAUUCUAGAAUGAUGGAGGAGACAUACUUCUUAUCACCUAACAAUCAGGUUCUCAAGGACCUUUCCUUGACUGUGACUGCAUUAAGUGGUUGACUAUGGGAAUUUUGAUAUGGUCUAGGAGAACCUUGGUUUUCGUUUAUCAUUUAAUCUCUCAACUAACGCAGAAAACAAAAGAUAAGUUUCUCAUGUUCUUACCUUGCAAGUUUGCAUCCUUGAGCUGGUCAUUCACAGGACAUUUUCUUAGAAUUUAUUUUUUUGGCUCUAACUGCACAAUUCAGAUUUCAGGAUAUUUUGUCUCAUACCUCUAUUUAGGAAGAAUUAUGAGAAAUUGUUAGCUAACAGUGAAAGUUUCAUUAGAAUCAUGAAGGACUUAGAAAAUUGUCACAGUGAUGUGAGUUCUGGCAACUAGGAAUAGCACACAAGGAGAAUGAAGAUUUAGAAUUCAUCAGUGUUUCUCCAAAGACUUUUUCAGUUAUAAAAAUAGCUUCUAUUCUAUUGGUAUAUUAAUUAUGCAAAUCUACAUUGUAAGUUUGUCUAUGGAAUUCCAUUCAUCUCUUCUAGCUACUGACACUUUUACUUGUUGCUUUCACUCUGUUGUUACAUGGUUUCACUAUUGAAAUAUUAAAGAUUGAUUCUCUUUUUUGAGAUAGGGUUUUACUCUUUCACCUAGGCUGGAGUGCAGUGGCAUGAUCAUAGCUCACUGCAGCCUUGACCCAUGCCCCCAGGCUCAAGCAAUUCUCCCACCUCAGUCAGCUUCCUGAGUAGCUGAGACUACAGGUGUGCACCACCAUGCCUGGCUAAUUUUUUUAAAAAUUUUUAUUUUUAGUGGAGACAAGAUCUCACUAUGUUGCCCAGGCUGGUUUCAAACUCCUGAGCUCAAGCAAUCCUGCAACCUCAGCCCCCCAAAUUACUAGGAUUACAAGCAUGAGCCACUGUACCUGGCCAAAGAUUGAUUUUUAUAUAGUAACAUUUUGAUAAUCUGUCAUGUGGUAAGUUUUGCGAUGCCAAGCUCUGCUAGAAAUACUGAUAAGAGUUACAAUGGUACUGGAUUCCAGGCGGCUGCUGGAAAGUAUAAAUAUGUGACUUUCUUAUGUCUAGAAUGGAAAGAACUGUAUAAGAAGCUUUUAUACUCCUUGUCUGCUUGCUGCCUCGGAGGAUAACCAGUGCUUCGGAGGAAAAGUAGAAGGAGAAGGAGAGAGCUCUUUAGCUGCCAUUUAGCUCACACUAUAAAUGUCU